rnacentral:rRNA from 1 species
AUUGAACGCUGGCGGCAGGCCUAACACAUGCAAGUCGAACGCGUGGCGGACGGGUGAGUAUUGUCCGGGACACUGCCUGAUGGAGGGGGAUAACUACUGGAAGCGGUAGAUAAUACCGCAUACCAGGAGAUGUGCCCAGAUGGGUUCAGCUUGUGGGUGGGGUAAGGGCUCGCCAAGGCGACGAUCCCUAGCUGGUCUGAGAGGAUGACAAGCCACACUGGAACGGAGACACGGUCCAGACUACUACGGUAGGCAGGAGUGGGGAAUGUUGCACAGUGGGCGCAAGGCUGAUGCGGCCGUGCCGAGUGUAUGAAGAGGGCCUUCGGGUUGUAAAGUACUUUCAGCUGGGAGGCGGUACCCGCAGAAGAAGCACCGGCUAACUCCGUGCCAGCAGCCGCGGUAAUAC